GUGUCAGCAGCCGCGGUAAUACAGAGGGUGCAAGCGUUGUUCGGAAUUAUUGGGCGUAAAGCGCGUGUAGGCGGCAUAGCAAGUCGGGUGUGAAAGCCCUCAGCUCAACUGAGGAAGUGCGCCCGAAACUGCUGUGCUUGAGUGCCGGAGAGGAUGGCGGAAUUCCCCAAGUAGAGGUGAAAUUCGUAGAUAUGGGGAGGAACACCGGUGGCGAAGGCGGCCAUCUGGACGGUAACUGACGCUGAGACGCGAAAGCGUGGGUAGCAAACAGGAUUAGAUACCCGGGUAGUCC
rnacentral:rRNA from 1 species